rnacentral:rRNA from 1 species
UACGGAGGGUGCGAGCGUUGUCCGGAAUCACUGGGCGUAAAGGGCGCGUAGGCGGCCCGUCAAGCGUGUGGUGAAAGCCCGGGGCUCAACCCCGGGUCGGCCGGUGCGGACUGGCGGGCUCGAGCACUGUAGGGGCGGGUGGAAUUCCGGGUGUAGCGGUGGAAUGCGUAGAGAUCCGGAAGAACACCGGUGGCGAAGGCGGCCCGCUGGGCAGGAAGGCCCCCUCACGGGGGGCCGGCUGCGCUGAGGCGCGACAGCGUGGGGGAGCAAACAGG